rnacentral:rRNA from 1 species
AGUGAACGCUGGCGGUAGGCCUAACACAUGCAAGUCGAACGGCAGCACAGUAAUAGCUUGCUCUUACGGGUGGCGAGUGGCGGAUGGGUGAGGAAUACAUCGGAAUCUACUUUUUCGUGGGGGAUAACGUAGGGAAACUUACGCUAAUACCGCAUACGACCUACGGGUGAAAGCAGGGGAUCUUCGGACCUUGCGCGAUUGAAUGAGCCGAUGUCGGAUUAGCUAGUUGGCGGGGUAAAGGCCCACCAAGGCGGCGAUCCGUAGCUGGUCUGAGAGGAUGGACCGCCACACUGGAACUGGGACACGGUCCAGACUCCUACGGGAGGCAGCAGUGGGGAAUAUUGGACAAUGGGCGCAAGCCUGAUCCAGCCAUACCGCGUGGGUGAAGAAGGCCUUCGGGUUGUAAAACCCUUUUGUUGGGAAAGAAAAGCAGCAGGUUAAUACCCCGCUGUUCUGACGGUACCCAGAGAAUAAGCACCGGCUAACUUCGUG